GUGCAAUCAGGGGGAGACCUGAUGCCAUACACAGGCCACUGCUCAGAGCAGCCAGACUCCCAGGCUCCAGACCCGCUUAGGGAACAGCAUGUAGAAAGACAUACUAAUGAGGGUCAGAGAGAAAGGAUCUUUCUCUGUGAAGUGCUGAGGAAGCCAGAAGGCUGGCUGGAAGCCCCUGGCACAGUUUGCCUGAGCAGUGUUGAAUUGAAUUGAGGUAGGCACCUUGGCAAGAUGGAAGAAAGCAGGCCACAGAUGGGACAGCCGGGGAGGUCCAGUGACGAGAGCCACAGAGUGAAAAGCCAGAUACAUUUCUUUAGGAAGCCAUCGACUUGGAUGCUUCUUUGCCCUCACUCUGCAAUGUGACGCUGGUCCUCAAUUGAGAAUUCAUUAAUUAGCAAAGGAAAAGAAGAGAAAGGCUGAAGAUGUGAGCAAUUGCUCCAGCCACCAUGCUGGCCUGCCUGCUGCCAUGUCUCCCUGCCAUGAUGAGCUCUGACCCCUCUGGAACCAUAAGCUGAAAUAAAAUCUUUCUUCGGUGUUGGAGGUACAGGUAUGCACCAGCAAUCACCAGCAAGCUCAUUUAUACAGUGCUGGAGAUGGAACCCAGGGCUUCAUGCAUGCUGUGCAAGCAUUCUACCAAGUAAGAUACAUUCCCAGCCCAUGGUUUGCCUUGCUUUGGAAGAUUCUAGAAGGUAACAAAAAGAAGGGUGUGCAGAAGUGGCAGGCCAGAGCAUGUUAUAGCAACAAACCACCUAGGAAGCACUGGAAACAGGUGAACGAGGCUAGUGUCUAAGAACUUGAAUUAUGUGGGCGCUCUUAGGUUUGAGGACCAGACAUAAUUUGUGAAAAGCAAGAGGACAUGACUUUGAGAUUGACUCCCGCCCUGCCAAGCAGACAUUGGUAGCAGCAGCCAAAGCAGGUGAUGCAAGAGAAAUGCCCUAUUUGGAAAGAGCCAUCAGGGUGUGCUCUGAAGCUGGGAGGCGUCUACAGAAACAUCUAGGAAAUCUCCCUCAUCCUGUGAGGGAGGGAGGAAGGGACUCCCAGGACGACAUAGCAGACACAGAGGGAUAAAGAAAAGUGUUGUCAGGGUGCACGCAGGAAGCUAGGUGGAGGACAGUCUCUCCUUGUCCGUGGCGUCAGUCCUUCCUACCCCCUCAGAGCCACUUCCUGCUGCCUGACCCUCUCCACGCUGUGAUAUGGGAACAGUGGUGGGGAACCGCACAUGCCCUAGUACGUGACUCUGUAGGGAGGAGUUCACACGUGCGCGUUGGAAGCAUUUUAGCACGUGCACCGUGCACCCACUUGCUUAGAUCUAGAUGUCACCCAAAUGGGUGAAAAGGAAUACGAGGCUAAAGUGGCUUCGGUGUUUGUAAACCUUCCCCUGCUAUGAGGGGAGGGUGUGAUACAUAGUGAAAACCAGACCCGCCAGACCAGAGGGACAAGACUAAACUUUGAAUAGAUCUGUUGCCUUUGUCCUAUGUGGGGCAUUUACCCACCAACCCCACAGCUCCCCAGAGUUUUCUUGAGUGCGAGCAGCAGGAAAUAUUAGAUAGAAGGAUUUAUUGUGGAGAUAAACAGAUAGA